UACAGAGGUCUCAAGCGUUGUUCGGAUUCAUUGGGCGUAAAGGGUGCGUAGGCGGCGCGGUAAGUCGGAUGUGAAAUCUCGGGGCUUAACUCCGAAACUGCAUUCGAUACUACCGUGCUUGAGGACUGGAGAGGAGACUGGAAUUUACGGUGUAGCGGUGAAGUGCGUAGAUAUCGUAAGGAAGACCAGUGGCGAAGGCGGGUCUCUGGACAGUUCCUGACGCUGAGGCACGAAGGCCAGGGGAGCAAACGGG
rnacentral:rRNA from 1 species